AGCAGCAGCAGCAGCUUGGGAAGUGCUGGUGUAUGUGCGGGCCUAAUGAUAUUGCUCCUUUGACUGAAGUGACAGCUCCUGCAUGAUGUGUAACACAGCGCAGCCAGGAAAUCUCUACACAGGCUAUGUCCUCUCCAGCUUGAUAACUCUCCAGGAAGAGGUUUAGCAGUGGUUAAUUUGAGAAAAUGAAGGAGAACAAAUGUUGCUUAUGUAAAACAAAUGCAGAAGCAUGGAAAACAUGCCUAUUCUUGUGAGAGGUGUGGUGUGCAAUAGCUUAUGAUGAGGUGCAGUUGAAGGGCUGUUAUGACUAAGAUGGAUGCUGCCUCAUACAAGUCUGGUAGCACUACUAUGUGUUUCUUCCUUUCACCUUCCCUACUUCUUGUUCUGCCCUUUGCAGUACUGUCCUUACAUCUUUACUUCAUGGGGAAGAAUAGUUUGUGGGGGAAUACUAGUUGACAACAGAAGCGUGCUUCCAGUUGGACUUUAAGGAUAGAACACAGAAAUAUGUUGCAGAAAUACACUGCAAGAAGGAAAAAAGGG